CCUAUCAGCCGGGUUAUCGUUUCCCGAUUUAUCGGGAGAAGGAAAGUCCGGACAGCAAAGAGCAACACACCGGUUAAUGGCCGGUCCCGUUUAUAGCGGGGAGACAGUGCCACAGAAAAUUACUGCCUUCUCCCUCUCCUUUAGGAGAGGGUCGGGGUGAGGCUGAAAACGUGAGGUAAGAGCUCACGGGUUUUUGCAGUAAUGCAAUUACCGGGUAAACCUUGUGUGCUGUAAUGCCACGUAUAUCAGCGUUCCGGCUUGCCGGUAAAGGGCGGCUCGCCCGAUCACUGCACUGCAGUAACGUUGAAGGGUAGGCAGCAAGAUCGUAACAGUAAUGUUGCGGCCAGAUAAAUGAUGACCUUAUCUGAAUGUGGUGAGGUGGGGAGGGGAAACCCUCCUUCGCUGAAGCUACGGAGGGUAAACAGAAUCCGGCUUACAGGCUGAUAGAUUUU
rnacentral:RNase_P_RNA from 1 species